AUUGAACGCUGGCGGCAGGCCUAACACAUGCAAGUCGAACGAGUGGCGGACGGGUGAGUAAUGUCUGGGAAACUGCCUGAUGGAGGGGGAUAACGACUGGAAACGGUAGCUAAUACCGCAUACCAUCGGAUGUGCCAAGAUGGGAUUAGCUAGUAGGUGGGGUAAUGGCUCACCUAGGCGACGAUCCCUAGCUGGUCUGAGAGGAUGACCAGCCACACUUGAACUUAGACACGGUCCAGACGCCUACGGGAGGCAGCAGUGGGGACUAUUGCACAAUGGGCGCAAGCCUGAUGCAGCCAUGCCGCUUGUAUGAAGAAGGCCUUCGGGUUUUAAAGUACUUUCAGCGGGGAGGCGUUACCCGCAGAAGAAGCACCGGCUAACUCCGGGCCAGCAGCCGCGGUAAUUC
rnacentral:rRNA from 1 species